AUGAUGAUUACACUAGAAUUAUUUAUACGGUUAGAACCUGAAUACACGUGAAGAUUUAUCUAGGGCGGACUGAUGCA